rnacentral:rRNA from 1 species
AUGACUUCCAUAAGAAGGCUAUUCCAUCAAAUUUCAAGAAAUAUACCAGCCAAUUGGAACGACACCACCAUUAUUAUGAUACCGAAGACCGAAUCGCCAGAAUUGGUAACUCAAUAUCGCCCCAUUAGCCUUUGUAAUGUCCUUUAUAAAAUCAUUUCUAAGAUGUUGGCCCAACGUCUAAAAAAUAUCCUUCCUGAAAUAAUUUCCCCUACUCAAAGCGCAUUUGUACCUGAUAGAAUGAUCACUGAUAAUAUACUGAUUGCUUAUGAAUGCGUACAUAAGAUCAAGAAUAAAAGAGCUGGCCAGUCAGGUCUUUGUGCUGUCAAGUUGGAUAUGCACAAGGCAUAUGACAGAGUAGAGUGGUGUUUCCUCCGGAACAUGAUGAUUACUUUGCGAUUUCAUGAACAAUGGGUGGAGAUGAUAAUGGCCUGUGUUAGCUCUGUUAAAUAUAAUGUGAGAUUUAACUCUCAGGAGACGGACUCGUUUAUCCCUACUCGUGGGAUUAGACAAGGGGAUCCACUGUCCCCUUACCUUUUCCUACUUUGUGCAGAAGGUCUAUCCAGUCUAUUGCAGUUUGAAGAAGAAGCUGGUGGCAUAGAGGGAAUCAAAGUAUGCAGAAAUGCACCGUCAGUAUCACACCUAUUAUUCGCUGACGACUCUUUGAUUCUUAUGAAAGCAGAUGUGUUAAAUGCAGCUUCCUUACAGCAUGUUCUGGAUACUUAUUAUCAGAGUUCAGGCCAACUGGUGAGUCUAGCAAAAUCAAGUGUCUUCUUUAGUCCUAACACAACUGCCACUUCUAGGGAUGAAAUCUGCCAGGAACUACACAUUGAUACGGAAGCUUUGUCCGAUAAAUAUCUUGGACUCCCUGCUAUGGGAGGGACAGAUAGAAGCAAUUGUUUUAAACACUUCUAUGAGAGGAUUAAAGAAAUAUUACAUGGUUGGAUGGAAAAGCAGCUUUCCACUGGAGGGAAAGAGAUUCUUCUUAAGUCAGUAGCCCAGGGCAUACCUGUGUUUGCUACGUCAGUGUUUUGCUUAACUAAGGGGGUCUGCAAAGAUAUCACGGACUUGAUCGCCCAAUUUUGGUGGGAAGAUGACGAGGAUCAUAAGAGGAUGCAUUGGUACACUUGGUGGAAAUUGUGUUAUCCAAAGAACGAAGGAGGGAUGGGGUUCCAAGACCUCUACUCGUUCAAUUUAGCAAUGCUCUCGAAACAGUCUUGGCGUCUUAUCACCAACCCCGAAUCUUUAUGUGCUCGAGUCCUAAAGGCAAAAUAUUUCCCAAACUGCAGUUUGCUUCAAGCAACCCUAAAAAAUGGAGCAUCGUUUACGUGGCAAAGUAUUAUGAAAGGUAGGGCUGGAAAAAAAAGCUCGAAGCUCGUGAGCUAA